CGUCUCGACGAUGAAGAACUGGUGGAGUACAUCAUCACCGGGCUCGGCGAAGACUUCACGUCGCUGGUAACUGCCCUUACAGCAAGGGUAGAACUGAUCACAGUUGGGGAGCUGUAUUCGCAGCUGCUCAACUUUGAGA